rnacentral:lncRNA from 1 species
UCAGUUGGUCCUCAUAAAUGAUUCUGACUUUUCCUCUGCCCAAGACCACUGAAACGUAAAAGCAUAUCUUCUCAAAUCUUUUCCUUGUCAAUUUGCUUUUCAGAACAGUGCUAUUUCCUACCAUUUCAAGCAUCGCCCCAUAUUACUGAAAGCUGAGGUCUUCCCAUUUUCUUUUACUCUGAAGAACCCAGAUGAUUUGGCUCUGAUUCUCUUCUAGAUGAUCUUAAGGUCUCUCCCUCCAGGUACUGUUCCUCUCCCUUCUUAAGUGUUUCUUUUGCUAGACGAUGGGCUUCUGUGUUUUCUAACCUCGGGAUAAAAUAGAAUCUGAUUUCUUGAUACUGAUCCUUUAAGCUUUGAAUAUCACUGAUUAUUGCCCCUAUUUCUGAUAUGUCUCGACUUGUAUUUUGGCAUUUUGUAAUCACUGUUCUUGAGUCUCCGGUUAUAUCUAAAGUAUGAUAGCCCAACUGAAUCCCUAACCUUAUUGCUUGUAAACCUGCAAAUGCUUCUGCCGCGAAUGGAGAUGCAAUAUUUUCAUGAAGGGUCGACUUUACUGCAACGAUCCUACCUUCCUCAUUUCUAACAACUAGGCCUGACGCAGAUCUGGAAUUCUGUAAGUCGAAAGCCACAUAAAAAAAAAAGAUGGCCUUUUUCGCCCUUUGUAAACUUUGUCUAUGCCUCACACUAGUUUCCACGUUGAGUUCCUUAUCUCUACUCCCUUCCAGUUCCAGAAUAUAGCUUUUUAUUUGUUUGGAGAUAUCUCUGCUAGUGCUUGAUCUGUUUUCAUAUAAUAAUUUAUUUCUGUUUGUCCAGAUUAACCAGAGCCCGCAACAGAAAUCCCUGCACUGUUCGUUUGUCCCUUGGCUGAAAACCCAAGUAAGCCAACUCCAGAUAUCCAAAUGACUAUUGUUGAGUAUCCAUGAAAAAUUUAAGUGACUCCAUAUUUCCUUUGCUGUAGGGCACAGAUGGAAAACAUGGAAACUAUCUUCUCCUUCCUGACCGCAUCUCGAACAUCGAUCCUCAGCCAUCACUUUUCGCAGCUCUAGAUUGGAGAAAAUGGGAAUGUAAUUCCACGCUAUUUUUCAUACUGUAAUCUUGAUUUUUAAGGGCAUAUGUAAAUUCCAUAGUUUUCUGUAGAAAUUUUUAGUAUCGGUCUGUAAAUAAACACUAGGAUCAAUUGUAGCUUUCUGUAAUAGUAUAUAGGCACUCCUUACUGAAAAGUCACCAGUUGCCUCCCCUCUCCAUACUUGGAUGUCUUUAUGGAUUAACUUUGAAAGCGGAAUCUGUAGUAUUUUCCUAGUGAUAUCCGAGUUAAAGGUACGGACAAUCAAGUGUCUAUUCCAUGUUCUGCUUUCCUCAUUGAUUAAGUCAAACACUACUCUAAUAUUUUUAAUGUUGCUGUUAUUCUGUAUUCUGUCUACAGUCAUUCUCGGCACCCAUAGAUCAUUCCAUACUGAAAUGUGGUCUCAUUUACCAACUCUUUAGCAUAAUCCAUCUGUGAGGAGUUUUUUUGUUGACCAAAUACUCCUCCAGGUAAGUGAAGGUAAGUUACUCAAAAAAGCAUUUAAGAAGUUUGUUGUUGAAAAAUAUUUCACUUUUAAAACUUGGGCUAAUAAAGAACUCGGAUAAUUAAAAAGACGCCAACCCUGUUUUGCCAGCAAAGCUAUGUUAAAUUUAUCAAGACUUCUAAAACCUAACCCACCCAAUUCUUUUUCAAUGCAAAUAUCCUCCCAAGCACACUAAUGGAUCUCUCUUUUUUCCCCUUAUUUUUCUGCCACCAAAAUUUUGCAAUAAUACCAUCUAAUUCCUUGAAAAAAGAUUUAGGGAGUAAAAAACACGUCAUUGAGUAGGUUGGUAUAGAUUGUAAAACAGCUUUGAUGAAAACCUCUUUACCUCCUUGUGAGAGAUAUCUGAUACUCCAAUUGUCAAUUCGUUGCUUGAAUCUAUCCUUCAGCAUCUGGAACGCUGCCUUAUUCCUUCUACCCACCAGGCUAGGUAGCCCUAAAUAUCUUUCCAUAUCAUCUGAACUUCGUACCCCAAUAACUCGAAUAAUUGUUCUUCUUUCUCCUUCCUAAGUAUUGCUGCUGAAAAAAAUUGUGGAUUUUGAAAAGUUAACUUUCUGACCCGAGCAAAUUUCAUAUUCACGGAUGACCUGUUUUAAAAAAAAUUAAACCCCUCUCAGUAGCUUCCCCAAACAGUAUGCAAUCAUUCGCAAAAAGUAAAUGUGAAACAUGCGGCCCGCUUCUGCUUGUUUUGACACCUCUUAUUUUGUUCUCCUGCAUACCUAAUUUCAUAAGGCUAGAGAGACCUUCUCCAUAGAACAAGAAUAAGAACAGACUCAACGGGUCCUCUUGUCGUAAUCCUCUUGAAGGAUAAAAGAAGUCUCCAUUAUGUCCAUUAAGGACCACUGAAUAUGAAACUCUAUUAACGCAUCUUAAUAGUUGGGUCACCAACUCUGAAUCAAAACCCAUUUUCUUUAUUAUUUCCUCCACAAAAUUUCAUUCCACCCUAUCAUAUGCCUUGCUCAUAUCCAACUUGACCGCCAUAAAACCCUUCUUCCCUGACCGCUUCUGUUUCAAUGUAUGGAUUAAUUCAUAAGCCAGCAACACGUUAUCUGAGAUCAAUCUCCCAGGCACGAAAGUGCUUUGUGCAGGAUCAAUGCAUUUGUCUAACACUUUCCGAAUGCGAUUAGCAAAAACUUUAGCCAUUAAUUUGAAGAUUACAUUACACAAACUAAUAGGCCUAAAGUGCGAUAUAUCUAUUGGAUUUGAAAUUUUCAGAAUUAAAACAAUAUUUGUUCUAUUGACUGGGCCUAUCUCCAUCUUUCCAUUCAGUUGAUCAAGACAAUAAGAAGUGACCUCCUCUCUGAUAAUUGCCCAACACUUCUGAUAGAAUAACGUUGGAAAUCCAUAUUCCCCUGGUGCCUUAGUGGGCCCUAAUUCUGCCAAAGCCUGCUGAAUUUCCUCCUUUGUAUAUCUCUCUUUUAACAUUAAAUUAUCUUCAUUUGAAAUACAUCGAUGAACUCCAGAUAAAACAUGCUCAUAAUUUGCAGAUAUGCCAGUGAAAAAUAACUGUUUGAAAUAUGAUCUAGCAAUCAUUUUCAUUUCUUUUCAUUCUUCCGUCUCCCUCCCAUCAUCGUUCUUCAUUUUGUGAAUCAGGUUCCUCUGUCGUUUCUGUGUAGCUUGUUUGUGGAAAAAGGCUGUAUUUUUAUCCCCAAAUUUUAACCAGUUAACCCUCGCUAUUUGUUCCCAAAAGCACUCAUCCUUUUCGAUCUCGAAGUUAAGUUGGAUCUUUGUAUCAAUCUGGUCGGCUAGAUUUUCUUCAUUUCUUUCUGCUUCUAGUAGUGAAGCCAAUUUUGAUGAUAACAACUUCUUCCUUUCUUUUCUAGAAAAUCGAAUUUGACUAGCCCAUCGCUCCAGCCCCCUUUUCAUACUGUCCAACUUGCUUAAAAACUCUCCUUCAGAAUGUCCCAUAUGUCUUUAACCGUAUUUUAAGAACGAGUCCUCCAGUACCCACCAUGCUUCAAAUUUGAAACAUUUUUGUAUUCUCUCUCUGCACCCCUUCUUUGUGUUAACCAGUAAUGGGCAAUGGUCAGAAAACGUAUAUGGAAGAUGUUGAAGCUAAAAAUCAGGAAAUAAAUGCAGCCAAUCUUCUGUCGCCACUCCUGUAUCUAACCGCUCUUGAAUAUUAUUUUCAGGUAAGUUCCCCCUUUCCCACGUAAACCAGUUUCCAAUAAACCCCAUAUCAGAUAAAUUAAAUUCCUCUAAAGUCUUACAAAAACCUUCCAUUCGUCCUUCCUCUCGCACUAAACCGCUUUUUUUUUCAAAACUAUACAGAAUUUCAUUAAAAUCUCCACAAAUCAUCCAUGGUAACUCCCUACCCAUACCUAACUGCCGUAAUAGGUUUCAUGUCUUAGCUCUAUCAUGUGAAUAUGGAGACCCAUAAAAACCUGUAAACCUCCGUUUGUAUCCUUCAUCCUCUUCAUCAAUGAUCACAUCAAUAUGCUGUUUUGAAAAACUCUGAAGCUGAAUAUUUUUAUACUCGCACCAAGCCAAACACAGCCCACCUCUAGAACCAUCUGAACUCACAUCAAUACCGUUUAAAAACCUACAACUCCUUCGAACUCUUUCCAUUUGAUUAUUACUUAUUUUUGUCUCCAUGAAGAAGACUACUUGGGGAUUAUAUAAGUUCAGUAUAUACCGAAAUCUCCGAAUUGUCCGUGGACUCCCCAAUCCACGGAUAUUCCAGCUUAGGAUUUUUAUUGCACUCGGUCGGCUUGCCACUUGGCAGCCACCGAUGAUUGAUGACUAACCUCUAUUGUUCUCCUACUCUUUGCCGCCAAAAUAUUUGUCUCCUCUUUGGUCAGAGCUGCUUCCAUCUCCCUUCUGUUUCUCUUCUUGCCCUCCUCACCAAUAAACACUUCAUCUUCAAGAUCAUGUUCCAUUGAGUUAUUCAUCAGAAUCCCACUCCAAUUCUCAUUUACUUCCCAUGUUUGAGAUCUACUUCCUACAAGGUUUAUCCUUAAUAUUGGUGUAACAGCCCAAUUUCGACUCUAAUCGAACAUAGUGGUUUCAGGACCACAACUCCAAGACCAAAAAAAAAUAUUUUAAUAUUAUUUUGUCUGUUUAUUUUGUGUGCAUUUGAUUGUGUGAAAUUUUCGUGUUUUAAUUUUGUUGUUUGAGUGUCCGAUUAAAUAAAAGGAUUAAAUCACGUAAAAUAAAAAUUUAAUGGUUAAAUAUGAAAGUGUCUAUUUGUUGUUGUCUUUAUAAUUUGGAGGAUUUAAGAAGCAAUUAGCCCACCAUUAGGUGAGUGGAUGGCAAUGGUCAAGAAUGACCUUAUAAUAUGUGUUAUACAUUAUAUUUUAACAAAGGUUAAUUAAGUAAAUUAAUUAUUAUGGUUAAUAUAUGUUAAAUAUAACAAAUUUAAAACAUGUUCUUCAUCUUUUUCUACCGAAACCAAGAGAGAAAAUAAGGGUUCAAAGCUUUGGAAAAUUCGGCACUUACAAAGCUUGAUUAAGGUAUGAAUAUUGUUCGGUUUUUGAUAAUUUUUAUGUUUUUGAGAUCGUUGCUUCGGGUACUAUUCGACCCAUGCUUGAAUUUUUGAUUUUGAUGAAUAUUUUGAGCUAUGCCAUUUAUGAAUAAUUGUGUUUUGUGAUGUUUGAUAAUGAAUAAUGAAAGAUAUGUUUUAGAUUAAUAUGUUUUGUAUUGGAAUUUUUGGUGAAAUUGAGUAAAUAGGGUGAAAUUGCAAAAAUAAUAUUUUUAGAGACUAAAAUGUGAAAUAAAUGAAAUGAGUGGACUUGUAUGAAGACAAGGAACAUUCGGCCCUAGCUUAGUGUGGGCAAAUUUUGUGUAUUUUGUGUUUUGUGCAAAAAGGACUAAAUUGCAAAAAGUGUAAAAUGUUAGGGGCAAAAUAGUAAUUUUCCCAUUUAUGUAUUUUUGGACUUAAUUGAAUAUUUUGAUGAAUAAAAAGGUUAAAUUUGAUUAUGUUUAGAUCAAUAAACAAAGAGAGCGGAUUUGGAUCGGGGAAAAACGAAAGUAAUCGAAUAGUCGAUCGUGUCCUUUGAUAUCCGAGGUAAGUCUAUUAGCAAUUUGAUGUUAUUAAAUCAGCAUAUAUGUAUGUAUAUCUAUUGUAUUUUGAUGAGUUGAAAUCGAAAGUAUAUAGAUUGAAUUUGGUUAAAGUAUGAAUGAUAUUUAUAUAUAUAUGUAUACAUAAGGUCCGAAUAUAUAUAAGUAUAUACAUGUAUAAACCCUUAGACUUGGUUAAAGGCAUGAAUGUUAUAUAUAUGUAUAUGUGAGUUGGAACAUAUAAGUAUAUACCUGAAUAAGUCUUGAAUAUAUUUAAAGGUAUGAAAGUUAUGUAUGUAUAUGUAAUUUCGAAUAUGUAUAUGUAUAUAUAUAUGCAUAUCUAUUGUUUAUUUGGUGAGCUAUAAUUAAAAGUAUAUGGAUCGAAAUUAGUUAAUGUAUGAAUGUUAUAUAUAUAUGCAUAAAUGAAGUUCGAACAUGUAUAUAUAUGUAUAUGAUCUUAAAUUUAGUUAAAGGUAAGACUGUUAUAUAUAUAUAAGAUUCGAAAAUGUAUAUAUUUAUGUAUAAGAUUUUGAAUUUAAUUAAAGGUAUGGACGAUAUAUUUAUAUAUAUAAGGUUCAAAUAUAUAUAUGUAUAUAUAUAGGUAUAAGUUUUUGAAUAGAAUUAAAAGUAUGAAUUCUAUAUAUAUAUACGUAGGUGUGAGGUUUGAAUAUAUAGUUAUGUGUAUAUAUAUGUAUUUGAAUUGAAUGUAAAGUAUGGACUUUACAUAUGCAUGUGUGUGGUUCGAAUAAAUAUAUAUACAUAUACAAAUACUUGAGUUGGAUUAAAAGUAUAAUUUGUAAAUGCUUAUAUGAUUCAAACAGGGAUUACAAAUUUCUUUUUGAGAUAAAGUUGAGGUUGUGAAUUAUACAUAAAUGUUAUGAACAUGUGUUGCUAUUAAGAAAUAUACGAGGAAAUCAUCUUUGUAUCUGUGAAAUUGAAAUUUUCAGGUUAAGCGCCUAGAAGGCUUAAUGCCGGUGAAUUUUUCAAAUUAUAAGUCUAGCAGGCUAAGUGCCGGUGAUUGAAAUCAGGUUAUAAACCUAGCAGGCUACGUGCCGGUGAUAUGAAUCAGGCUAUAAGCCUAGCAGGCUAAGUGCCGGUGAAUAUGUUAAAUUAUGUGAUUAUAUGCAUUAGAUAGAUUUAUAAAUAUAACUAAUUUUGGGUUAUAUAUAUAAUGAAUAAGUAUAUGAAUAUUUAUUUAUAUGUGUUCGAUGAGCUUAUAAAUGUUUCAACCUAUGAGUUUAGUGAAUAGGCAUAUAUAUAUUGGUUGAUAUGAAAAUUGUUGAAUAUACUUGUACGAAAUCGACACAUGUGGCUUAGAAGUAUAAAUGUGCAUAUGAUUCAUGUAGUUUAUAAGUGGAAAUAUAAGUUUUUGACAUAUGUUUUUGAAAGAUCAUAAACAAGCAUUCAAUGAAAUGCAAAUGAUAAGUAUAUUUGGAAUAUAUAUAUGCAAUUAAUGAUUAUGUAUGUAACUUGAUUUUUAGGUAUAUAAUGAUUAUACAUGUGAUCGUUUAUAUGUAUUUUGGUUAUGCUAUAAACUUACUAAGCUAUAAAAGCUUACUUUGAAUGUUUUUGUUCAUUUGUUUUAUAGAUUUUGGAGACGCGUUACGAGCUCGGGGAUCAUCAGCAUAGUCUAUCACACUAUCGACUUCUUUUGGUAUUUUAUUAACAGUUUGAACUCGAUCUUAUGGCAUGUAUAGGUUUGAGUAUGAUUUUGGUUAGAUUUGGAUUGUAUAUAUAUAUAAAUAGCCAUGCGAAGAUGGUUUAAUUUCCAUGUUUGUGAUCAGUUUGGUUUUUUUAAAAAAAUGGUUGUGUUUGUUCGGUAAUGCCUCGUAACCCUAAUUCGGCGACGGAUACGGGUUUGUCAUCAUUAUUAUCCAUAUUUUCAUUAUUAUCCCUAUUUUCCGCUAGAUCUCUUGAGUUAUUCCUUAUAAAUUGUCUUUUCCCAUUGUUCCCACGCCCCUGUUCCUCUCCUUCUUCUCGCAACCAUACGCUUGUCAUCAU